UACGGGGGGGGGGGCAAGCGUUGUUCGGGAAUUACUGGGCGUAAAGGGCUCGUAGGCGGCCCAACUAAGUCGGGACGUGAAAUCCCCAGGCUUAACCUGGGAACUGCGUCGGGAUACUGGAUGGCUUGAAUUCGGGGAGAGGGAUGCAGAAUUCCAGGUGUAGCGGUGAAAUGCGUAGAUAUCUGGAGGAAUACCGGUGGCGAAGGCGGCAUCCUGGACCGACAUUGACGCUGAACGGCGAAGCUAGGGAGCAACAGG
rnacentral:rRNA from 1 species